CUGCCACAAAGGAUCCACAGAGCCCCUGCCCCGAGUCCCUGUCCUCUGUGGGUACAUAUGCCUUGCACAUUAGGGAGAAAAGUUCCCCAGCUCAGGAAAAUGUCCCGGGACUGCACAAAGGUAAUCCUAAUUCACCACUCCUGCAAUUCCCUACCUCAUUUGGAAGUCUGUCUUACCUUUGCAUGGGGAGAUCUUGCUGCAAAGUCAUCAACCAAAGCAGGAAGAGUCAGCCACGUACCCUGGAACAAAGGGACAUUAGAUGUGACGUGGGCCUCUCUGUCCCAGCCCCAGACCCUGUGUCAGGCCUGAGGGAUACAGCUGGGAGCUGAUAGGGACCUGCCUCGUGGAUACCGUCAGUAUCUGCUAUACUCAGACACUAUGUCCCUUUACCUUUCAGAUCACCCCACUGCUCUCAGAAGCAGCCUUUCAAGGACCUGGAUUCUUCCGCUGUCUUUCAAGGCCAAGGAGCAGAAGAACGGACGGGACUUGAGGAUGGCAGCAGAAAGUAGGGAGACGCCCGGAGCAAGCCGAGCGAGCCGAGCCGGGAGUGGCAACGGGAGCCCGAACGCGCGGACGCCGGAGCGCGCGCUGGAGCAGGCGCUGGAGCCUGGGCUGGAGCGGAGCGGGGCUUAGCGCGCAGAGC